GGAGAAUAUGAGCAUAUCAGGGAAUGUAUGCACUCUCAGACCUACCCUGGUGUGGGCUCCAUGGUACAUCCUCCGUGGAGGAUGGAUUGAGAUCUCAGGGUCCUGGCUUUAUCUUGAAAGUAGACAUAGGUAUCAAGCCUUGACUCCUUCUGCAUUUAAAAAUCCUUCUAUCUCAUUGGCUACCUUUGCUCUCAUUUCUAAUUGGAACUAAGGAGAGAGACAGAGCAUGAACGGGGGAGGGGGCAGAGAGAGAGGGAGA